rfam:Camelus ferus unplaced genomic scaffold scaffold689, whole genome shotgun sequence.
GUGGGUAUAGCUCAGUGGUAGAGCACGUGCUUAGCAUGCAUGCACCAGGUCCUGGGUUCAAUCCCCGGUACCUCCA